UACGGAGGUCGCGAGCGUUACCCGGAUUUACUGGGCGUAAAGGGCGUGUAGGCGGCCUGGGGCGUCCCAUGUGAAAGGCCACGGCUCAACCGUGGAGGAGCGUGGGAUACGCUCAGGCUAGACGGUGGGAGAGGGUGGUGGAAUUCCCGGAGUAGCGGUGAAAUGCGCAGAUACCGGGAGGAACGCCGAUGGCGAAGGCAGCUACCUGGCUCACUUGUGACGCUGAGGCGCGAAAGCGUGGGGAGCAAACCGG
rnacentral:rRNA from 1 species